UACAGGGGGGGCAAGCGUUGUUCGGAAUUACUGGGCGUAAAGGGCUCGUAGGCGGCCAACUAAGUCACACGUGAAAUCCCCAGGCUUAACCUGGGAACUGCGUGUGAUACUGGAUGGCUUGAAUUCGGGAGAGGGAUGCAGAAUUCCAGGUGUAGCGGUGAAAUGCGUAGAUAUCUGAAGGAACAUCAGUGGCGAAAGCGACUUCCUGGACCAAUACUGACGCUCAUGUGCGAAAGCGUGGGGAGCAAACAGG
rnacentral:rRNA from 1 species